rnacentral:rRNA from 1 species
GAUGAACGCUAGCGGCAGGCCUAACACAUGCAAGUCGAGGGGCAGCGGGGACGUAGCAAUACGUUUGCCGGCGACCGGCGCACGGGUGCGUAACGCGUAUGCAACCUACCCAUAACAGGGGGGUAACACCGAGAAAUUGGUACUAAUACCCCAUAACAUUCGAUAAGGCAUCUUAUCGAGUUGAAAACUCCCGUGGGUAUGGAUCGGCAUGCGUUGACUUAGUUAGUUGGUGAGGUAACGGCUCACCAAGACGACGAUAAAUAGGGGGACUGAGAGGUUAACCCCCCACAUUGGUACUGAGAAACGGACCAAACUCCUACGGGAGGCAGCAGUGAGGAAUAUUGGUCAAUGGACGCAAGUCUGAACCAGCCAUGCCGCGUGCAGAAAGACGGCUCUAUGAGUUGUAAACUGCUUUUGUACGAGGGUAAACGCAGAUACGCGUAUCUGUCUGAAAGUAUCGUACGAAUAAGGAUCGGCUAACUCCGUGCCAGCAGCCGCCGCCG